AGCUUGACGCACCUAAAUCUAACGAUAAGACAAAAAUAAAUCGCACAAAAAAAAAAGAAAAAGCGAGAAGAAAAUUUAAGAUGGUGUAACUUUGGUAGUGUACCGUUAGGUGUUGGCAGGGGCUUUGGGAAAUGCGGGGACAUCGUAUCAAAGAUAUUCACAAACUUACCAUUUCCGAUGUUAAGCUAGCCAAAGCUUCUUCGACAGUUGCGACUAGCCGGCCAUCUUCUUUUCCCGUAAGUCCGCUUCUGAUCGGAGUUGUUGGACAUCCUUCGGAUAAUUAGUGUCGGAGUAGAACCUUCGACGCUACCCGUAGGCGGUGUCCAUGUCAAAGCUCCUCCACCUCGACUACUUCCUCCACUUUCAACGCUCAAUGAAGAUUUUGUCUCACGCCCGGCACUGCCACUGCCACUGCCGCUGCUUUCUAAAUGCACGUCCGAUAUACUAGGGAAAAUAGGAAUGAACAGACGUUGAAUAAUCAAUGAUUGGAAGAAAACUUUUGUCAACGAAAAGGUGCAUGCGGCUCUGAUGGCAGCAGAUCGUCAUGCAGUGAAAAUGCUUCACCUCGACUGGAGCCGCUGGUGGUAGCUGCCGGUGUGCCUCGGUGAUCGUCGACUUUACCUCUCCCGGAAAUGGAUCCUCUGGGAGGAACCGGUGGAGGGAUCUUUCCGGAAGGGACAAGAUUUGGAUUAGGAGGACUCGCCCCACCGCCUCUGCCCUUCAGCACCGCCGGUUCGAAGACAGAGAUGAUAGAAAUGGCCAAAGCAAAGAGACUCACCAGGCUUGGAGUGUGAUGUAACAUGCACUGCAGAACUUCCAGAUGCUGCCACCGCUAAACCACCAUACAACCACCAUAUUACCGUUAUACUAUUAGCGAAUAAUUUCAAUACUAUCUUAUCGCUUCGUAAAAAUGAGAAUUUCAC